CAGCCUAGCGGGGCGCGGGCGAUAUCGGCGCCCGCAGUCUGCAAGCAGCGGCUGGAGGAGACAGACAUACGUGGGUUAAAGCUGCUACACAGAAGACUGGAGGUGCAGGAAGUGCAUCUGCCUUAAGCCUGUACGUGGGAGCCAUGUCCGGGGUCCCUUCCCGGGGGUGUGCCCAGCCCAGGGCACAGGGUGGGAAGCCUGAGCAGGCCAGGUUAGCAGCCCAGACACCCAGGAUGGAGUAUUGCAGCCUCUUGCCCCACAGACCUGUGGGCAAAGGGACAGCGUGGGGACAGCCC
rnacentral:lncRNA from 1 species